rnacentral:pre_miRNA from 1 species
ACAACAUUUGGACCUACCGUCUACCGGUCUACCGAGCAAUAUCACCCGCUCGGUGGAAGAUCUUCCCUUUGUCGU